rnacentral:tRNA from 1 species
GCCUUCGUGGUGAAGUGGUCAGCACGCUCAGCUCGUAUUUGAGAGAUCGGUGGUUCGAAUCCCGGCUAGGGCA